UGGACGGGGCGCACCGCACCGGUUUGGGGGAGGGGUCGGGAGGUGACGCUCCCCUGGGACGGGGUCGGGAGUGCGGAGCACUGGAGGAGAGGGAGGCGUCCCGCGCGGCGUUAGACGGAGGCAGAGCCCGGCGGGACUCACUGCAGCUCCAGGAGAGGGGAAGGCGGAACAGACAAGAGGGAAAUGAGACGCUCGUCGGCCAUCCCCCAGCACGGUGCAGCACUGGGAUGCCCACAGGCAUUGGUCCCAGCAGUGCUGGGAGCGCUUCCAGAUUCCCCGAACACAACAAGGUACUUUGGGAUGGAUUCCGGGUUCCUGGCACCGAAAACAUCCCGGCGGAGCUGUCAUGGGGAUGCUGUCCUUACAGCUCCGAAUUAAACGGCACUUUGCAUUUUCAGCAGCGCAGGCAGCAGAUCGAGCCCAGCCCGGGCAGGAGGGCAGAACGGCAGGGCAGAAGCACGGGAGAGCUCAGCCGGGGCUGAUGGCACCGCACGGCCUCGGUGGUGCUGCGGGGGGGGCGAUUUAUUUCAUUCUUUCCAUAUCUGUCUUCUAUCUGUCAUUAAUGUUAUACUGCAUAAGCGGAGAUAAAUCUGAAUGGAGUUAAUACCCACGGAGCAUGAUGCCGAAUAUUCAUGUGCUGGCAACCAGAACGAGGAGAAUGUGAAUCUUUAUUACCAGUGGAGUUGUUAAAUAUUUAUAUUUUCUGUUUGAGACGCACUGUGACACGUGAAACUCAAUUACAAUAUAACUAAAACCCAUCCUAAAUUAUAGAUAAAUGGCAGCAAACAAAGGGAAGAAGUCUGAAGUUCAAUGUGCACAGCCCUGGGGGAAGAAACAAUCAGACAGACAGACAGACAGACAGGUCUGUGCUCACAGCCCAGCUCCAGGAGCUGCUCCUGUCCCUCACCAGUACCAGCCUGCAUGCAGGAAUGGCCUCGUUUUGCCAACAGAUGAACUAUGUGCCACUUAGUGAAGAAAACAGCAAUAUGGGAGAAAAUUACAGAAAGGCGGAGGACUUUAAAUUAAACGUGAAUUACUUCCCUCUAAUCCCACUCCUAAUGCUGCUCCCUGCUGCUGCCGUGCCUUCGCACCGUCCUCCCCAGCAGCGCUGCCCAUCACAGCAGGAUGCUGCCCAGCACUUCAGUCCUGGUCUACUCUUUCUAAGCAAGGUUUUGCUCUGCCAUCCCUGCCAUCCCCUGAGGGGCCUGAAAAUAGCUUUGUCCCCUUCUUUCUGCCUUUAGUUUCCAUUCAUUCACCAAAACGCUGAUGCCUUUUCUUGCCUAUUUUCCUCCCAGAGAGGAACAGCAGCUCACGUGGGCCCGCAGCCCUGCACACACACACACACAUCCCCGGGCUGGUGCCCAGCACAGGGCCACGAGCAGCACCUGCACUGAGCACUGCGCAGCCCCCCGCGGCGAUGGCAUCCGCACCCCCCCCCCACAGACAUCCCUGCCACCGUAAGCAGUGCUCAGGUGCUGCCCAGGGCCCUGGGAUUCAUCUGGGAUGUGGGGGACGUUUUUAACGGGCUGCUAUAAAUAUUGAUGGGCUGUCAGCCAUGAAAAAGGACCCAUCUCCCAUCGCGUUGCUGUGUCAGAGGGGAGUGGGGGGUCAGGGGCUGCUGGCAGCACAGAGCUCUGCAUCUCCUCCUCUCCCACUGCUAUGGCCCCGAAGCCGCCACAGUGGGAUGCACAGCCUGUCUGCUUUGCUGAGAGCCUAUUGAUUCCUCCUGCCCGUGCUUCACCCCAACAUAUCGACCCAAUCUGCUCUCUGUAACUCAAACUAAAUUAGCUGCCUUAAUCCGCAGAUAAUUGCGGCGAGCCCGGCUCUGCCUGUCCCAGAUUCGCAGGUGGUGGGGACAGGAAGGAGAUGUGGGGACAGCCACCUACAGCCACAAACGGGUCCCACACCCAGGUCCACCCAGCAGCCCCCAGCUUCUGCUGCCCUUCCUCUGUGCACCCAAAGCCCCCGGCCCAUCCGGCUCCAUGGAGGCAGAGCCCUCCUCCCCAGUGCAGGCAUCUGCAAACAUCCUCCCCCGCCUUCUGUAAAGCCUCCAAAACACACAUUUAAUUUAGAUUUAAUGCAAUAGUUACCAUGGUCAGUAAAUACCAAAACCAUAUUAGAGGAUUAAUAGCCGUGUCACGGCCGCCUACCACUGCCUAAUCCUGCUCUGAGCACACGCUCCCCUUCACCAGCAGGGAAAGCACCGCUCCACAGCCACAGCACCUGCUCAGGACCACUCAGUGCCACAUGGGGCGAUGGCCCCAGGGAUGUCUUGGAACAGGCAAAGGGCAAACCUGCUCCACAGCAGCACCCCUACAGCCCCCCAGCCUGCCCUUCCACACCCAGCUCACACUGAUGCUCAUUGCCUGCUCAGACACCAGCAGUUGGGUGCUCAGGUGUUGCCUAAUUGCCCACCCACACAUGGAGCAGCACAGAGCCCCAGAAGGGGGUGGGGGUCCUGCUGCCCCCCCACAGCCACGCCAUCCCCGAUGGCAAACAGCCUCCGCAGCCUCUCUGCAUUGAUGUCACAUCAACACCAGGAUAAAAAGGGAUGGCAAAGCCAGAGAAUGUUAAUUAGAGGGAAAGCCUCAUUAAAACAGAACCGCAGCCCCAAGGGUGCAGGAAGGGGACAGGAAAGCACGCCACAGGCAACAGAGGUGCUGCAUCUGUGGGCACCCCAUGGGGCCGUGGUGGGCUGCAUCGCUCCCCAUGGAGCACAUGGGAUGCACUGCUGUGCCCUGCAGUCAUACGGGUGCCGUGCAGCCCCAGGGUGAACCCCAUGUCUGCCCACGCACAAAGUACAGCAUCACAAGUGCCACAGCAGAGUUUAUUUGUCACAGAGAGCUUUUCCUCCUUUUCUUUUCUUUUCUUUUUUUUUUUUCUUUUUUUUUUCUUUUUUUUUUUU